GGGGGGGCGGGCGGGGAGCCUGGUGACUUCUUCUGCCCAGACCUCAGCGCGGGAGCUAAUGGGAGAAUAUGUAACCUGGGGUUACGGAGUAUGGGCGAGGAGAAGUCAGAUGGAAAAGACAGAGGUAUCAGAAGGGAAAGCUAAUGCAACCACACGGGAGACAUUAAAAAGCAAUAAAUCUGGGAGCCUGCAUGGUAUUCGCCCAGGAAUUCUGUAGAGGGUGGUUAACCCGCUCACCUGGGGCUGGGGCUGAGCACGGUGAGGGGUUGGGGGGGGGGGUCCCACAUGGCCUGGAAACCAGGGCUCUGGACCCACCCUGAGAAGAACCAGAUUCCAGAAAUGUGUUUCCAGGCCCAGGGCAGCCCGGGGAGCCUCUGGAGACGGGGGAGGGAGCCCCACAUUGCAGGAGGCCGGGCCGGCAAAGGGAGUCCCGACACCUCAACCACUGGAGAACAUUCUCUGGGAGCGUUAAGCAGCCCGUGGGGAAGAGAGAACCACAGGAUAUGAUUUAUUUACCUACUCCCUGACAAAAUCUUUCCCAGAAGGCUGAGGAUAGUAAUUCUCUGUAAUUAUAUCUCAUUCGAGGUUCUGCAGGCUCUUAGACUCGUUAACUCAUUAGUGCUCCCGGCACACCUUGGGGGGGGGGGGAAGGAAGUGGGGGAGGGGAUGACCAACUUCGGCAGCCAGCUGGGGGAAACCGAGGCACCCCCGGCGAGAGGUGCAGAAUCAGAACUGGGACCUCCUGGAGGGCAAAUGCUUAAAGGGAGGAGAGGGAGAGGUUAGGCAUGGGGUCUGGGUUCAGUCUCUCUUCUUCCUGUGUGAUCUGGGGAAAGUCCCCCAGCCUCUCUGGGCCAGGGUUCCCUGAGCUGCAAACAAAGAGAGCCGGGUACAGAGGCCUCUAUGGCCCCUGACUCAGGAGCCCGUUUGGAAAUUUAACCUCCCGCCGAGUCAUGGAGAUGUGACGAUGAGAGUGGCUUUCGGGUAGACCAGAAGUGGAAGUUGGUCACGUGGUCCACAGGAGACACCGUGAGGAAGGCUUCGUGACCUUCAGGGGCCCGUCGCGAGCCUCAGGUUGAAUUUAUAGUAUCGAGAAGCCAUUCCAUUCAGGGCUGUUGGCUGCAGGGGGGUCAGAAACGGAUGUGGUGGAAAACUGGGGUUUUCUUGUUUCUAGAAACCCUGAUUUGUCUCCCCUUUGGGUCCAUGUGUUGACGGCUUCUUCUCCAGGUCCCGUUGGCGGGGGACAUUGGAAAGCCAUGCCCUUUCCCCUGUAAGAAUUUCCACUGGCCGGAAGGAGGGAACCGAGAGCCGUGGAAGUUCUUUGGGAAUCACGAAGCGAUGCUCACGUGUUGGUGUGGCGAUUGUUACAUUUUCCCCUGGCCUUCUUCCUCAUUGAGUCAAGGAAUGGAAUUUAGGGAGCAGAAGUGGGACGUGAGAUCGGGGAGGGGAACAAGAGUUGACGGAGCCUCUACUAUGGUUCGAGGUACCAUGUGAUCGCUUUCCGUCCGUUGUCCUGCCUGCUCAACAAUCCUGUGAGGUACAGAUCCCAUUGUACAGAUGGGCACAUUGAGGCUCGGGAAGGUUGAGCAGUUGGGCCAAGCCUUCGCAGCCAGGCUGUGACAGAGCCAGGAUUUGAACCAAGGUGUCUCUGGGUAGACAAUACACUCUGUCUAGUGGUCCAAGCUUGCGUGAAGAGAGAGAGGUGGCGUCUGAGGCCGUGCGAAAUCUUCGACUUCUUCUCCCUCGCCUUGGCCCGAAACUGGUUUGGGAGAGAGGGAAUGAGAAACCAGGAUCUUUUCUUUCGGGUUCCACCUCGGGCUUUAGAUCAGGGAAUCUCUUGGCAGGAGAUAGUUGCGUCUGACUAUUCGACCGGGAAGAGUUAACUGUAAGGGCUACUUACAAGGGGGGCGAGUAGGGUUAAGGGACCCAGCAAGGGACACUGGAGUUCUCUGGGGCCAGCAACCGUGGGAGCUGUUAACCCCCUCAGGGCUGCAGGGGCUGGGGGUGGGGGGUGGGGGGAGGUGCACAGAGCCAGAGAGGGUUGGAACCACGGAGACGGGCUGUCCGCACGAACCACUGUCAUGGAGGGUGAUGUUUGGGGAGGAGUAGGGACUAGAUACCCUGACAUGAUCUUUCAAUCCGCCCUCCCUCCUGUCCGUAGCCAGUGCUUUCCAUCAGCUGAGUCCGAUCAGCCAGGAGGGCAAGAGCCUGGUGAUGAAUCUUCAGCGGCUGGGUGUCUGGGGAGCAGGCAGAGCAUUGAAGGUCGAGCACAGAUGUGCGUGAUGCAGGCAUAGACUUGGCCCCAUCCCCCGUCCCUUUCGAGCCUGCCAUCAGGGACACAGCCAGUGACCUUGAGACUGUUUUCUGCAGAGAAGGGCGACUCUUGGGUGCAUUUCAGUAGGUGCACUGGGAAUUUCUUGGAACGGUGGCGGGCCCACCAAAUCCUCCCCGAAACACUCUCUCCACCUGUCAGCGCCCCGAUAGGCUCAAGUGUGUGGCUGUCGCACUUGGAGAGGAAUUUGGAGGGUGUAUGUCUCCGGGGCAUUCUCCAGCCCCUUUUUAUCAGGAGUCUCAUUUUAAAGGUAGUGUUUAUUGGGGGCGCCUGGGUGGCUCAGUCGGUUGAAAGUCCAACUCUGGCUCAGGUCGUGGUCUCACGGUUCGUGGGUUCGAGCCCCGCGUCGGGCUCUGUGCCGACAGCCCGGAGCCUGCUUCGGAUUCUGGGUCUCCCUCUCUCUCUGCCCCUCCCCCGCUCACGUUCUGUCUCUCUCUCUCUCAAAAAUAAAUAAACAUUAAAAUUUUUUUUCAAUAAUAGAAUAAAAGUAAAAUGAGGAGAUAGCAGAAUUCAUAAUUCAUCGAAUGUUUUCCAUGUGUCAUGGCCUGUGAUAGGCUCUUGCUGUUUUCAGCUUCUAACUUCCCUGGAGCUCUGAGAGGUAGGUAUUCUGGGCCUUCUGUCCUGAUCAGGACAUAGAGGUUCAGAGAUUUAACUUGCCCAAGGCCAGUCACCAGGGAAACGGUAAAGGCAGGAAGGAAACCCGAGGCUCGGUGGGCUGGGGCAAACCGUUUCCUGGCUACCGACGAUGUGCUAGGUGAGGAAAGCAAGACCACGGGAGGUUGCAAAGCUGCUCUCUGGGUUUGAACUUGCCCGUGACAAGACGGGCACGGACACCAAGCCACGUUCCCUACGCUCCGUGUGACUGAAGGAGAGUCCCGGCUGGUGUGUCCCCUAUGUGAGAUGGGCCAAUAUUCCACAUGGCUGCGUGGGAUUGUGAAGGGACUGGGUGGCCAGAGGGACCACGAGGAACAGGAGGUCUUAGGAGGUCAUUUGGCCUGGCUCGUGAAUUCCAGCCCCGCAUCAGGCUCUCUGCUGUCAGUGCAGAACCCACUUCGGAUCCUCUGCCCCCCUCUCUCUCUGCCCCUCCCCUGCUCAUUCUCUCCCUCUCUCUCUUUCAAGAUAAAUAAACUUAAAAAAAUGUAUGAGUCAGCUUGGGCGGUCAUAACAAAAUGGUACAAACGGAGUGGCUUAAACAACAGAAAUUUGUUUGCUCACAGUUCUGGAGGCUAGAAGUCCAAGGUCAAGGUGCUGGGACGGCGGUCAGUUUCCUCCGAGGCUUCUCUCCUUGGCUCGCAGGUGGCCACCUUCUUGUUUCUCUUCACAUGGCUGUCCUUCUAUGCACACGUGUCCCGGCGUCCCUAAUGUGCCCUAUUCUUUUCUUGUAAGGACACUAGCCAGAUUGGAUGAGGCCACCCUAAAGAACCCCUCUAACGUAAUCACCUCGUUAAGUACCCUGCAUCCAAACACAGCCACAUCCUGGGGUGGGGGGGGGGGUCAGGGCUCCCACGCAGGAAUUUCGGGGAGUUGGACACAUUUCAGACCCUAACAAACCCACUUAUUUUUUUUGUUUGUUUUUAGUUCCCACACGAGAUGAGGUUGAACCUUAUGAAAUUGCCGGCAGCCAAUCAAGUUCGAACUACAAAACGAGCGAGUCCCUUUGGAGCCUGUCCCGAGCUGCUGGUAGAGGACGGAGGUGUGGGGACCUCCUCCCUCUGGCUGUGCGAACCCCUCGGGACAGAUGUGCAAGAAAGACGGCAGGUGGGAAGAAACCUGCGGAGACCCCUCUCAGGACUGAUGAGUCCAGCCGGGGACAUCAGAGUGAGAACCUGAUGAGCUCCAGUUCCGACAGGUCACUGGGGACAGCAGCAGAAGUUUCUUUUUGCAGGCUCCAUCCAAGGGACGGGACUCUGUGUCUUUGACCAGGACGGCCCUCAGUUCUUGCCGUCUCUUGGGCAACCUGCGGCCUCUCCUGGGGGACCGGAAGUGACAGCUGAGACUGGUUUUGUGACGCGCCGUCACGGGAAUCUGAGAGCAUCGAGGCUUUGAGGUUGGCGGUAAUGACCCGCUUCACGGCCUGACGGGGAGGGUGCACGAGGUGGCACAUGGAACAAGGUCGGCACAGAGCCGGGCGCUCAGAAGGCACGCUGCGCGGCGGCUGUGGUUGGCCUCGUUGAUUGUUCUGUAGCCUGUUAAUUCCUAAGACUGGGAUACAAAUUCGACGGUUUGCAGGGUGCCUGACGGAAUCUGUUUUUUCAGGAGUAGACGGGAAGGAGGCAUUGGGAGUUGCAGGGCACUUACCUAAGCCAGGCGCCCUGGGAAUCGCUGGACGCACGCCGUCCCAGAAUCUUCUCGAACAGCUCUGGAGAACACGAUGCCCGUUUUACAGAUGCAGAGACUGAGGUCCAGGGAUGAGCUUGCUCAAGGUCGCUCAGCUGGCUUUGCUGUCUGGAAACUAAUUCUUCGAUGGGAAUGCAAAGGGAAAUGGAUAGCGGCGGGGUGCAAUGCAGUGCAUGGGGUUUCCUUUUGGAUGUGAGAUCUGGAUGAAAUGUCAGUCGAGUUUCUCUGGCUAUGGGGAGGUGCAGGAGGUGGUCUGGGCAUUGAGAAUCUCGGGGUGCCCAGCUCUCUGUGAGCCGCACAGCAGUGUCUAGCCUCUUGGAUCCGGGGGUGCGGGGGGGCCGUGCCUCAUCAUUUGCUAUUUGUGUGAGCACAUUCCACUUCCAGGAGCACCCCUGAAAGCGUUCUUAUCCGCAUUUUGCAGAUGGGGAAAGUGAGGCUCGGAUGGGUGAAGGUCCCUGUGGUGGUUAUCGGGUGCUCCGGGACAAGCCACCGCGGACUUAGUGGCCUCAAGACCACUCACUUCUUAUGCUCACAAAUUCCGUGGGUCACGAAUUUGGAUAGGGUAUAGAAGGGAUACCUUCUGCUCCAUCAUGUCUGAGACCUCAGCUUGGAAGACCUGAAUGGCCAAGAGCGACUGGAACAGUUGGCCGGCUCAUUCACGUGUCUGGCACCGGGGCUGGGUGGCUCACAGGCUGGGCUGAGCGGGGACAGUUGAUUGGAACAACCCCACACGGCCUCUUCCUUCAGCCUGGGAUCGACUCCUUGCAUCACGGCACCGAGGUUCAUUUUUUUUUUUUAACGUUUAUUUAUUUUUGAGACAGAGAGAGACAGAGCAUGAACGGGGGAGGGUCAGAGAGAAAGGGGGACACAGAAUCUGAAACAGGCUCCAGGCUCUGAGCGGUCAGCACAGAGCCGGACGCGGGGCUCGAACUCACAUACCGCGAGAUCGUGACCUGAGCCGAAGUCGGACGCUCAACCGACUGAGCCACCCAGGCGCCCCACGGCACCGAGAUUCAUUAUAGGAAGUGGCUCAUGUGAUUACGGGGGCUCAGAAGUCCCGGAGUCCUCCAUUUGCAAGUCGGAGACCCAGAAAACCGGAUGGUGUCAUUCAGUCCAAGUCUGAGGGUCUACAGAUGGGGGCCCGAUGAUGUAAACCCCCGUCAGAGCCCCAAGGCCCGAACACCAGAAGCAGUGAUCCUAGCUCAAGCAGAGAGCAAAUUUGUCCUUCCUCUUCCUUUUUGUUUGAUGGGGGGCCCUCGACGGAUCGCACGAUGCCCACCCACACUGGUGAGGAGUAUCUUAUUUUGCCAGUCCACUGGUCCAAAUGUUAACCUCUUCUGGAAACGCCCUCACAGAUACACCAAGAAACCAAGUUUUCCCAACCGCCUGGGCAUCCCUUAGUCCCGUCAAAAAAUUAGCCAUCACAUCACCUUAUCCUGGAUCAUCAUCCCAGCUUUUUAUUAUUUUUUUAUUAAAAAAAUUUUUUUUAAUGCUUAUUUAUUUUUGAGAGAGAGAGAGAGAGAGAGAGAGAGAGUGCGCACGCGCACGCAAGAGUCGGGGACGGGGAGAGAGAGAGAGAGGGAGACACAGAAUCCGAAGCAGGCUCCAGGCUCCGAGCUGUCAGCACAGAGCCCCACAUGGGGCUGGAACUCAUGAACCGUGAGAUCAUGACCCAAGCAGAAGUCGGACACUCAACUGACUGAGCCACCCAGGUGCCCCCACCCCCCAACAGCUUUUAAAACUUUGUUUGUUUGUUUUAAAUUUUUAUUCAUGUUUUGAAAGACGGGGUGGGGGGGGGGUGUGGA